GACGAACGCUGGCGGCGUGCCUAAUACAUGCAAGUUGAGCGCUGAAGGUUGGUACUUGUACCAACUGGAUGAGCAGCGAACGGGUGAGUAACGCGUGGGGAAUCUGCCUUUGAGCGGGGGACAACAUUUGGAAACGAAUGCUAAUACCGCAUAAAAACUUUAAACACAAGUUUUAAGUUUGAAAGAUGCAAUUGCAUCACUCAAAGAUGAUCCCGCGUUGUAUUAGCUAGUUGGUGAGGUAAAGGCUCACCAAGGCGAUGAUACAUAGCCGACCUGAGAGGGAGAUCGGCCACAAUGGGACUGAGACACGGCCCAAGAUCCUACGGGAAGCAGCAGGAGGGAAUCUUCGGCAAUGGACGAAAGGCUGACCGAGCAACGCCGCGUGAGUGAAGAAGGUUGUCGGAUCGUAAAACUCUGUUGGUAGAGAAAGACGUUGGGGAGAGUGAAAAGCUCAUCAAGUGACGGUAACUACACAGAAAGGAACGGCUAACUACGUG
rnacentral:rRNA from 1 species